AUUGAACGCUGGCGGCAGGCCUAACACAUGCAAGUCGAGCGGAUGAUGGGGGCUUGCUCCCGGAUUCAGCGGCGGACGGGUGAGUAAUGCCUAGGAAUCUGCCUGGUAGUGGGGGACAACGUUUCGAAAGGAACGCUAAUACCGCAUACGUCCUACGGGAGAAAGCAGGGGACCUUCGGGCCUUGCGCUAUCAGAUGAGCCUAGGUCGGAUUAGCUAGUUGGUGGGGUAAAGGCCUACCAAGGCGACGAUCCGUAACUGGUCUGAGAGGAUGAUCAGUCACACUGGAACUGAGACACGGUCCAGACUCCUACGGGAGGCAGCAGUGGGGAAUAUUGGACAAUGGGCGAAAGCCUGAUCCAGCCAUGCCGCGUGUGUGAAGAAGGUCUUCGGAUUGUAAAGCACUUUAAGUUGGGAGGAAGGGCAGUAAGUUAAUACCUUGCUGUUUUGCCGUUACCAACAGAAUAAGCACCGGCUAACUUCGUGCCAGCCGCCGCGGUAAUAC
rnacentral:rRNA from 1 species